AGCGAACGCUGGCGGCAGGCUUAACACAUGCAAGUCGAACGCAUCACUCCGGUGGUGAGUGGCAGACGGGUGAGUAACACAAGGGAACGUACCCUUCGCUCUGGGAUAACCUCGGGAAACUGGAGCUAAUACCGUAUACACCCUUUUGGGGAAAGGUUUACUGUCGGAGGAUCGUGCCUCGGCUGAGUAGCUUGGUGGUGGAGUAACGGCCUAACAAGACGACGAGUAGUAGCUGGGCUGGGAGGAUGAGCAACCACGCUGGGGCUGCGACACCGAGCAUACUCCGAGGGGAAGCAGUGGGGGGGAAUAUGGAACGAGGGACGCAAGGCUGAUGCAGCCACGCGUGGUGGGUGAUGAUGUCCUUAUUGUUGUACAACUCUUUUGACCGGGACGUUAGUGACGGUACCUGAAGAAUAAGCCCCGGCUAACUUCGUG
rnacentral:rRNA from 1 species